ensembl:lncRNA
AUUCUUGCCUGGAGAAUCCUGUGGACAGAGGAGAUUGGCUACAGUCCGUGGGGUCGCACAGAGUCGGACACGACCAAAGCAGCUCAGCACGCACGCACACAAGCAGCUGAGAAUGAGUGAGGUGGCCAUAGGUGGGGGAGUGGUGGUGGCCAAAGGAACUUAGAUUAAAAAAUAAAGUCGGGUUAAGGGGAACUUUCCUGGUGGUCCAGUGGUUAAGACUUUGCCCUUCCAAUGGAGGGGGUGCAGGUUCGAUCCCUGCUUGGGGAACUAAGAGCCCAGUGCCAUGGGGUGUGGCCAAAAGAAAUAAAAUAGCCUAAAAAUAAAUUAAUUAACAGUGGGACUUCCCUUGUGGUCCAAUCGUCAAGACUCUGACCGUCUACUCUGGGAGGCAACCAGUUCAACCCCUGGCAGGGAACUAAGAUCUCGCAUGUCACGUGAUGUGGCCAAAAAAAUAAAGUCCUUCAACUCCACUCCAGGUGUCAGCGUUUACUGCUUCCUAAAGCUCCAACCCUGGACUCAGCCUCCAGCUCACCCUGGAGCAAGAAAAGAUCAACGUAAACCUGGGAAAAGGCAAGACAGUGGAGCCCAGGGAUGCCGCUGAGGGGAUCAAGCCCUUUCUGAUGUUUUGCUUGGGAAGGCAGAAUUUCGUUGCCUGGUGCCUCAGCUAAUUGGCCUCCAUCUGAUACUCCGGAGGGCUUGUGUGAUUAGAAGCCACAGCUGCCUUGCUCAUUAUUUCUGAUUAAUAGGCAGCACUUGGCAUCUCUGGGCAACGGUGCUGGCUCAGGAUCCAGGUGUGAUCUACACAGCCCACAAGAGCAUGAUGGCUUUGCAGCCCUGAGGUGGGAAGCUGUCCCCACCGAAAGCAUUGUCUUAUACCCAGCCACUUCCUCUGAGGACAACCGAAGCUGAAUGAGAAAUGAGUUCCUGAGAUGUUGCAAUACCCGGGACCAUGAGGACAAGUAACCCGGAACACGGGCUCGAUCCCUGGUCCAGAAGAUUCCACAUGCUGUGGACCAGCUAAGCCCGUGUGCCCUAACCACUGAGUCUUCAUGCUGCAGCUACUGAAGCCUGCGCUCCACAAAAAGAGAAGCCAGUGCAAUGAGAAGCCCAUGCACUUCAACUAGAGAGGAGCCCUCCGCUGGCACAGCUAGAGAAAGCCUGUGUGCAGCAGCGAAGACCCAGUGCAACCAAAAACAAAUUUGUAAAAACCCUGAAAGAAAACCAACAAGACAGGAGCAAGGAUCUAGGCCUUCCUCUUCUGAGACCCAGAAUCACAAACUCUUGCUCUGAAUGUUUUUAAGCGCCAUUGGCUCCAAUCAGUUUAUGCCUCAAUAGCCCUGCCCAGCUGAAACCAGCCCCAUGUGGCCCCCAAGGGUGCUCAGGGCUCACAGCAGGUGACUAGCAAGGCUGGGAUUCCACAGUGAUCUUCACCCAGUGAGAAGUCACAGCUGGGGACGAGGUUGGAGGCAGCUAAGAGCCAGUGCAAGGUAGGGACAUCACAGCCCUCAGCAGAAAGAGCAUGGCCACCUCCCCUGGAGAGGGGCCACAAACUUCCUGGGCACCCUUCUCUUGCUGAGCAGCCCUAGAGGCAGUGGCCCGUCAAGGGAGUGAGGAAAGCAGGGGAGGCAGAGAGGCAGCUCCUGUCCAUC